rnacentral:rRNA from 1 species
GAUAAACGCUGGCGGCAUGCCUAAUACAUGCAAGUCGAACGGAGCGAUUGGUGCUUGCACCAAUCAAUCAGUGGCGAACGGGUGAGUAACACGUAGUUAACCUACCCAUUGGCGAGGGAUAACUUUUGGAAACGAAAGCUAAUACCUCAUAGUUGGUAACAUUAAAGGAGCUUAUGGCUUCGCCAAUGGAAGGGACUGCGUCUGAUUAGCUAGUUGGUGUGGUAAGAGCAUACCAAGGCAACGAUCGGUAGCCGGACUGAGAGGUUGACCGGCCACACUGGGACUGAGACACGGCCCAGACUCCUACGGGAGGCAGCAGUAGGGAAUCUUGCACAAUGGACGAAAGUCUGAUGCAGCAAUGCCGCGUGAAUGAAGAAGUUUUUCGGAAUGUAAAAUUCUUUUAUUAAGGAAGAAAGUCUAUAAAAGGAAAUGAUUAUAGAGUGACGGUACUUAAUGAAUAAGGGACGGCUAACUACGUGCCAGCAGCCGCGGUAAUACGUAGGUCCCGAGCGUUAUCCGGAAUUAUUGGGCGUAAAGGGUACGCAGGUGGUUAUAAAAGUCUGAUGUGAAAUACUUGUGCUCAACGCAAGAAUGUCAUUGGAAACUGUAUAACUUGAGAGCAGGAGAGGUAAGUGGAAUUCCUAGUGUAGCGGUGAAAUGCGUAGAGAUUAGGAGGAACACCAGUGGCGAAGGCGGCUUACUGGACUGCAUCUGACACUGAGGUACGAAAGCGUGG